CCCGAGUAAACGGCGGCCGUAACUAUAACGGUCCUAAGGUAGCGAAAUUCCUUGUCGGUUAAAUACCGACCUGCAUGAAUGGCGUAACGAGAUGGGAGCUGUCUCAACCAGAGAUUCAGUGAAAUUGUAGUGGAGGUGAAAAUUCCUCCUACCCGCGGCAAGACGGAAAGACCCC
rnacentral:rRNA from 1 species